rnacentral:rRNA from 1 species
GAAAUGCUUUAAUACUGUAUAGAAUUUCAUUUUAAAAAUUUUAUUACUUUAAGCUGACAUUAUAUAGUGAAAGAACUUAAAGCAAAAGAGAUUAGAUACCUCUGUAGUAAUUUCUGUAAACUUAAAAAAAUAGCUUUCAAUUUUAAAUUAAACUUAAGCUAUUCACCUGAAAACUACGACUGCAAAGUUAAAAUUCAAAAGCAUUGGCGGGAAAGUAUACAAACAAUGAAACAUGCAAUUUAAAGCGAUAAAACCCGA